AGAGCGAACGCUGGCGGCAGGCUUAACACAUGCAAGUCGAACGGAUCCUUCGGGAUUAGUGGCGGACGGGUGAGUAACACGUGGGAACGUGCCUUUAGGUUCGGAACAACACAGGGAAACUUGUGCUAAUACCGGAUGUGCCCUUCGGGGGAAAGAUUUAUCGCCUUUAGAGCGGCCCGCGUCUGAUUAGCUUGUUGGUGAGGUAAAGGCUCACCAAGGCUACGAUCAGUAGCUGGUCUGAGAGGAUGGCCAGCCACAUUGGGACUGAGACACGGCCCAAACUCCUACGGGAGGCAGCAGUGGGGAAUCUUGCGCAAUGGGGGAAACCCUGACGCAGCCAUGCCGCGUGGAUGAUGAAGGUCUUAGGAUUGUAAAAUCCUUUCAGCGGGGACGAUAAUGACGGUACCGCAGAAGACGCCCCGGCUAACUUCGCGCCAGCAGCCGC
rnacentral:rRNA from 1 species